rnacentral:miRNA from 1 species
CACAGUUGUAGCUGGGAUUAUG